rfam:Hepatitis C virus (isolate JFH-1) genomic RNA, complete genome.
CUGACCCCCGGCAUAGGUCGCGCAACGUGGGUAAAGUCAUCGACACCCUAACGUGUGGCUUUGCCGACCUCAUGGGGUAC